rnacentral:misc_RNA from 1 species
UGUGAUGUGUUGAGGUGACGUCUGCUGUGUAGGCGCCAUUGUGUUGACCACCAAGUCGCAUCUUGACUCAAUGCUCACUUCUUUCUUAUCGCUUUUGCAUACUCAACAGCAUGCUCAAGUCUUCUUGCAUUCAGUGAUAUGUUUAUAUAUUCAGAAAUUUUAAAGACAUUUACAUUCUAGGAUUUUAAAAAUGGGUUCGCUCGUUAGUAGAAGAAAUGCAGGCUCAGAUGUUGUGGAUUAUGGUAAUAAUAAUGCCUAUAGAUACCCUCCCAAAUCAGGUAGCUAUUUUAGCAGCCACUUUAUAAUGGGUGGUGAGAGGUUUGAUAUGACUCAACCAGAAGCUUACUUGUUUGGUGAAAAUCAAGAUUUAAACUUUCUGGGAAACAAACCAAUUCCUUUCCCUUAUCCUUUGCCCCAAGGUAAUGAACCAACAAAAACUUUGAAAAGCCUUGUCAAUAUUCGUAAGGAUACUCUACGGUUUGUACGUAUCAAUGAUGCUGAAAAAGUUCCUCUAGAUUCUACUGAUGUGGAUCCACCUUUAAAUUAUUUUCGUUACAAUAUUGAAUUCACAUUCGAUUCUGAUGUAAAAUGUGCAAUUACUAUUUAUUAUUUUGCAAUGGAAGAAAUCAACAAUGGUCAAUUAGUUUAUCACCCUCGGGAUGCAUCAAUGAAUUCUGAAACUUAUCAUUACAAGAGGGGAGCAAAUCAAGUAUUCUGUCAGUCAACUCAUGUAAUUGAUCCUAGCAAAUUUUCAGAAGAAGAAUGGCAGUAUAAUCCAGAUAAAGAAGUAAUUCCAGUUGUUAUUCAGUGUAUUGUGGAAGAAGAAGAGCACAUUGGUCAUUCUCAUGUCACAUUUGCAAUGGUUGAGAGAAAUUCUGACAGUGGUUAUGUGUUAAAACCUCUUAAACAAAAACAGUGUGUUGGUGGUUUAUGUUAUUUACUACAAGAAAUCUAUGGAAUAGAAAAUAAGAACCUGGAAAGAUCUAAACUGGAUACUGAUGAAGACAUUGAAGAUACUGGAUCUGAAUGUGUAAUAUGUAUGUCAGAUAUGCGAGAUACGCUUAUUUUACCUUGUCGUCACUUAUGCCUAUGCAAUAACUGUGCAGAAUCAUUACGUUAUCAAGCUAGUAAUUGCCCUAUUUGCCGUGCACCUUUCCGUGCACUUUUACAAAUUCGAGCCAUGCGAAGAAAACAGAUGUCUUCAAAUAUAACCCAGGGUGGUGAAGAAGAGAAUUUUGUUAGUCAAGAAGGUGUUCCUCCUGGAUAUGAAGCAGUAUCUCUCUUGGAAGCAUUAAAUGGACCUUAUCAAAAUAAUUCUGUUCUUAUGCAAAUGUCUCAUGAAGAUAUUACUCCAACAGAGAGAGAUGGUGAACAUACAGGAGACAGAAUAAGCAGCAGAAAUAAGCACAACAAUAGGAGCAGAAACCGUGAAAAGAAAAGAUCUUUAAAACGUCGACAAACUAAUGAAUUGACAAAUAGCCGUCAACAGGCUCAGAACCUCAAUGAUGAUCUUGUUGACAAAGAAAACAAAACAAAUGAAGCUAUCAUUGCCAAAAAUAUUCAGCCCACGACACCUGAAGUUGUCAUGUCAGAAAUUGUUGGUAACCAAGGUAAUAAAGAAAAUGAAAAGAAUUCUGGGAGUGAUGUAGAAGCUGUCCAUCAAAUAUGUGAGGAGAACAAACCGCAAGGCAAAAUCAAACUGAAUAGCGUCAAUAGUAUAUCUUCUGAUGCCCUCAGUGAUAAAACGGAACGACAAAUGACUGGUGAACGAAAAACUGGGUUAACUGGAGAUUCUGCACCGAAUUCUUUAGAACGAGGUGAAUAUUUGAAAUUAUAUGAACAAGCCGAACAAGAAUGUGAAUCUGAGUAUUUACGCACCUGUUCCCAGACAGUAUCUACUGAUAACUUUAUAGAAGAUUCCAGCUCCUGCUCAGAACCUGAUGAAGUUGAAGCAGAACCAGAUUAUGAUCUUGAAGGCAGUGCAGAAGAGGACAGUCAGGAUAGUCCCAGUUCUUGUUAAACUAAAUUCCAACGUAAACAUAUUUUCUAAAUCUAUAACAAUACAGGCCAAAUUUAGUUUCCCAAUAGCUAAGGAUUAGAAAUAUGUUGAUUUCAAAUCGAUAACUUUAGAAGAUGAUGAGGAUGAAGAAGAAUACAAUAAG